CCCCCUCUAGCUGGUUAACUGCUUAUCUGAUAAUGGUGGUGGUGGUGGUGGUGGUGGUAAGUGCAUUUAUUUGACACUACCUAUGAAUAUAUACAAUACAUUUUGGGGUAUGUUGCUUGACAAAUAUCCUGGAACAAGUUAUGGAUUUAGCUCAAGCAUCUCUCAGAUUAUUUAAAUUCUUUUUUUGGAUGUUACUAUGUAGCUAUUAGGUUGUUUUGAAAAUCUUUUUCACAAUCUGAGGUUCCUCUUCCCUUAGGAGAAGGGGAUAAUUUUAGCCUGCUGGUAAGUUUUGUCUUUACAUGUUGUGAUAGUUCUUGUGUAUCUUGAAGUUUAGGAAAAUUUAGGCUGUUCCUACCCAAAAAGCUACUCCAAUCCAAUGGCUAACCCAAAAUCAUGGAAUUACUUACUUUUAGGAGGCAAAAAAAACAUCCAGCCCUCCAUUAAUGCUGAGGGGGAGUUUUAAAUGAAAGGCUCCUGUUUGGCUGCAAGUGCUUCAUCCCACUUUAUUUUCCAACCUUUCCAAUUCGUUGGAGAGAAAUAAUAAAGGGUGGUGGUGGGUGGGUCUGUUUACAGGAGAGAACAAAGGGACUUUGGGACUAGCCAUGUUCGUGCAAUUUAGGAAUUCCUUCCGUUGCAGAGCCAGCCCGGAUAGCUUCCUUCCUUCAGUGCUUCUAGGAGGCAGGUGCUUGGAGGCACGACGCCAGCAGCCCCAGCUGAGCAGCUCUUGCUGCAAUGAAGAAACCAGCGGAGGAGAACACGCGCCCUCCUGUGGCCGAAAGAAACACUGCUAGCAGAGCCGCAUCCAGGGGGCGCGGAGGAAAUGUGUGCCCUGCAGAUAUCCUUGCCGCCAGAUGUUAACCAAAGCAAAUUCAGGCUUCAGCCUCUGUUGCUCUACCACUUUGACUUUGCUGUUCUCAGAGGGGAGAAUGAUGGAUGCAGCCGAAGUAAAAGAAGAGCUAAGGCAUUUUCCUGUCUCAGCUUUUAUGCACCGUCCCCUCUCCAUACCUGCCUCCCCAGCCCACUGGCUGCCCCAACCUCCCCUGGCCCAUCUCCCACCCCUCUGCCGUUUGACCUCCUUGUCUUUUAUAAGUCUUAUUUCAUUUUG